rnacentral:lncRNA from 1 species
CUACAUAUCAUUAUAAUUAGUCUCUUGGAAUAACAGGUGAUGAAUUUAGAAUUCCAUUUCCUAAAUGAACUUUGCUUUUCCCUGCAAGAGUUGCAGUCACACUGACCACAACAGGUGUCCACAAUAAACAUUUAGGUCUUACCAUCACUCAUUAGAUCUUUACUUUUUAGGGUAUUUGUAGAACCUGGAUGGCUGUUACUGCCUUUUAUAGAAAAUCAAGUAGUUACUGAAUUCCUGAAGUACUAACUAGUUAACAAGGAGUGACCUUUGAAGUCUUCUUUCAAUAAUGAUGCAUUUAUCCUUGGCUGCCCCACUGGCUUUACGGGAAACUGAUAGAAGUUGGGAAAACAAUAUCCAUUUCUGAGAAGGAAUGUUCAAAGAAGCUAAGGAUGACCAGUAUAAAAAUUCACAGGUGUGUAUGUGUGUACCUUUUAUCAAAUGGUAGUAGAAAGUGAUCCGAGUUAAUGUAAAAAUUGAUUCCUAAGGAGCAAAUAGCU